UUUGAGUUUUGCCCCAUUUUACCACCUUUCUUGCCGUCGUCGUUAAGUGAAUCGCUGCAGUUCUUCAAUUAGCAACAUGGCUGUUAAGCGUAUCUGGUUUCCCCCGUUGACUUUGCUUGGUAGAAUCACGUGACCAGCAACGGUCAGGCUAUUACGAAAAAAAACAAAAGAUAAGAGAAAUGAAUUAAUUGAGUCCAGGAAAUGUCUCUACAGGUUCCAUCAAACUGGAAUUUGGCCUCUUAAAAAAAGGACAGGCAUCAACAGACUGCCUGUCCUUUCAAGCACAGUUCUGCGGGAUCCACUCAAGAGUCAAAACAAGCCGGUUUUCUUGUGACUAAAUAAAGACUCGAAUGACACGAAAAUCCAAGUCGGCAUUGAAAUGGGCAAAGGCGUACUCCACCAGUGCAGCGAAGACGAAGACGUAACAGAUCCAGAAGUAGACGUCCAACGCUUU